rfam:Triticum aestivum genome assembly, contig: Triticum_aestivum_CS42_TGACv1_scaffold_115561_2AS
GACGUACUCCCUCCGUUCGGAAUUACUUGUCGCAAAAAUGGAUGUAUCUAGACGUAUUUUAGUUCUAGAUACAUCCAUUUCCGAGACAAGUAAUUCCGAACGGAAGGAGUAAUGU